rnacentral:rRNA from 1 species
GAUGAACGCUGGCGGCGUGCCUAAUACAUGCAAGUCGAGCGGACAGACGAGGAGCUUGCUGCGCGGACGUUAGGGGCGGGCGGGUGAGUAACACGUGGAUAACCUACCUAUAAGAGGGGGAUAACUUCGGGAAACCGGAGCUAAUACCGGAGAAGAUAUUGAACCGCAUGGGUCAAUGGUGAGAGACGGUUGUGGGGGCACGUAUAGAUGGUUCUGCGCCGCUUUAGCUAGUUGGUAAGGUAAAGGGUUACCAAGGGAACGAGGCGUAGGCGAACUCAGGGGCUGAUCGGCCACCUUGGAACUGAGCCACCCUCCAUACUACUACGGGACGCACCAGUCUCCUACCUUACGCAGUGGGGGGAAACCUGACGGAGCAACCCCACGCGAGUGACGACGGUCUUCCGUUCGUAAAACUCUCCUACUAGGGAAGAACCACUGUCUACGUAACCAUGCCCGUCUUGACGGUACCUAAUCAGAAAGCCACGGCUAACUACGUG